UACGUAGGGCGCAAGCGUUGUCCGGAAUUCUUGGGCGUAAAGAGCUCGUAGGCGGCUUGUCACGUCGGGUGUGAAAGCCCGGGGCUUAACCCCGGGUCUGCAUUCGAUACGGGCUAGCUAGAGUGUGGUAGGGGAGAUCGGAAUUCCUGGUGUAGCGGUGAAAUGCGCAGAUAUCAGGAGGAACACCGGUGGCGAAGGCGGGUCUCUGGGCCAUUACUGACGCUGAGGCGCGACAGCGUGGGGAGCAAACAGG
rnacentral:rRNA from 1 species